UAGUCAACCGGUAAUAUAAUAGUCAGAUCCUAGCUCGUGUAAAUUGCGCAUUGCGACUCUCUCUCUCUCUCUGACUCGCGAUCUCAAAGGUCAUGGGUGGAAAGAAAGUUAUCGCUAUAUGUCAAUCGGGCGGUGAAUUUGAGACAGAUAAAGAUGGCUCAUUGUCUUAUAGAGGUGGGGAUGCUCAUGCUAUGGAAAUUGAAGAGCAUAUGAAGUAUAAAAAUUUCAAGGUGGAGGUGGCAGAGAUGUUCAAUUGUAAUCUUGGUAAUAUUUCCAUCAAAUAUUUCCUCCCGGGUAACAAAAAGACACUCAUUACGAUCUCCAAUGAAAAGGAUCUCAAGCGCAUGAUCAAAUUCCAUGGUAACUCCGACACUGCUGAUAUAUAUGUCUUGACUGAAGAAGUGGCUGCCGCUGAUGUCUCAAACAUGCCUGCCAGUAGGUCGAGUCAUACAACUUUGUCUGAAUCAGGGGUUCUAGUUGAUGCCCCCCUCAGUGUUGUAGAGGACGAUGUGGAUAACACAACCCAGCCUGCUGACCUGCUCGAUGCAUCAUUUGUCAUCCUAGAUGAUACUGCCCAUGUCGAUGACUGUAUUGAUUUACCCACUGAAAUGCCUCUACCCCUUUGUGUUGGUUUCAAUGAUGAGAAGCAUAUUAGAGCUGCACAGCAGUGGCAGAAUACUAUCACGGGUGUUGGCCAAAGAUUCAAUAGUGUUCAUGAAUUUCGUGAGGCCCUACGUAAGUAUGCUAUUGCGCAUCAGUUUGCUUUUAAGUAUAAGAAGAAUGACAGUCAUCGUGUGACUGUCAAAUGCAAAGCAGAUGGUUGUCCAUGGAGAAUUCAUGCGUCAAGGUUGUCAACAACUCAAUUAAUUUGUAUUAAGAAGAUGAAUGCCACACAUACAUGUGAAGGGGCUGCUGUGACAACAGGGCAUCAGGCAACAAGAAGUUGGGUUGCAAGUAUAAUCAAGGAGAAACUGAAAGUUUACCCUAAUUACAAGCCAAAAGAUAUUGUCAAUGACAUUAAACAGGAAUAUGGAAUUCAGCUAAACUACUUUCAGGCAUGGCGCGGGAAAGAGAUUGCUAAGGAGCAGCUCCAAGGUUCAUAUAAGGAGGCAUACAGUCAGUUACCCCUUUUCUGUGAGAAGAUAAUGGAGACAAAUCCUGGUAGUUUAGCUACUUUCACCACUAAGGAUGACUCAAGCUUUCAUCGCCUCUUUGUAUCAUUUCAUGCCUCUUUGUAUGGCUUCCAACAGGGUUGCCGGCCUUUACUUUUCCUUGAUAGCGUGUUCUUAAAGUCAAAAUACCAAGGCACAUUGUUGGCGGCAACAGCUGCUGAUGGGGAUGAUGGCUUUUUCCCUAUUGCUUUUGCUGUAGUAGAUGUGGAAACUGACGAUAACUGGCAUUGGUUUUUAUUACAAUUGAAAUCUGCAUUGUCAACAGCUCAGAGCAUAACAUUUGUGGCAGAUAGAGGGAAGGGGAUAAAGGAGUCAAUCACUGACAUAUUUUGUGACGUGGAUGUGCAGCAUGGAUAUUGUAUACGUUAUCUUUCAGAACAACUUAUUACAGACUUAACGGGGCAAUUUUCUCAUGAAGUGAAGCGUCUCAUGGUCGAGGAUUUUUAUGCUGCUGCUUUUGCACCUAGGCCCGAAGGCUUCCAAAGGUGUGUUGAAAGCAUUAAAAAUAUUUCACUAGAAGCUUAUAAUUGGGUGAUGCAAAGUGAGCCUGUGCACUGGGCAAAUGCAUUCUUCCAGGGUGCAAGAUAUAACCAUUUGACGGCAAACUUUGGAGAGUUGUUCUACAGUUGGGCAUCAGAUGCACACGAAUUACCAAUAACCCAGAUGGUUGAUGCAAUACGGGGUAAGAUUAUGGAGUUGAUUCAUACAAGACGUACAGAUUCCAACCAAUGGUUGACGAGGCUAACCCCAUCCAUGGAGGAAAAACUAGAGAAAGAAAGCCUUAAAGUACGUUCGCUUCAAGUGUUAAUAUUAGCUGGUAAUAGGUUUGAGGUCCGUGGCGAAUCUAUUGAAGUUGUCGAUAUUGAUCACUGGGAUUGCAGUUGCAAAGGGUGGCAGCUUACUGGUUUGCCAUGCUGCCAUGCCAUUGCUGUCAUCAGUUGCCUCGGUCGUAAUCCAUAUGAUUAUUGUUCUAGAUACUUUACAGCUGAUGGCUACAGAUUAACAUAUUCAGAGUCAAUACAUCCUGUUCCCAAUGCAGAGAGGCCCAUGCAGAAGGAUUCUUCUCAGAGUGCGGUGACUGUAACCCCACCUCCCACUCGUCGUCCACCAGGCAGGCCUACCACUAAGCGAUUUGGAUCACAAGAUGUUAUCAAACGUCAACUCCAAUGCAGUAGAUGCAAGGGUGCUGGGCACAACAAAUCAACUUGCAAAGAGUUUUGUUAGAGUGCUGAACUAUAUCCAUGGCUUGCCCAGAAAUAUGUUGUGGUUUGUAGGAACUAGGAACAUAUGCAAGCUUUCUCCUGGUUUUAAUUUUGGAUUUAUCUAACUGACAAUGCAUUAUUUUUUGUUUUUGAGUACAUGUAAUAAGCACCAAUUUUGUGAAUAAUGUAUUGGUGAGGGUACAAUAAAAAAUUUGACUUGUCACUUGGUGUGUAUGACACAUGGACAUGUGUGUCUAUGCUUCCUAAGCCUACACCCAUUUUAGGCAUCUGCCAACCCUUCGGCAGACUCAAUGAUCGGAUUCCUCCUUUGCCCUUCACAACUUGUGUGGUCCUCAUCUGUGAUGAAGACAUCAAAACAACCCAAAACCAAUUGAAUUCACAUUCUGUAGUGAUUCCAAACAAACAUGGAAUAUGAUAGAAUUCUACUAAUCCCCCACCUAAUCAAGGGCAUUCUAAAUGUGGGAUAGGAUAUGUAAUCCUGAGGGAUUGGUAAUGCUAGUAUUAUUAGUGUCAGAACUAAUAGUCUCGUGUAAUCCAAUCUAAUGAAACAAACAGAACAUCAAGUCCAUAUAUUGUAUGAAUUUCUAAUUCCAUGAUGCAAAAGGCAUUCAAGAUGGUUUGUCGAAGUUAGGGAUGAGCUUGUAAGAUUUUUGAAUGUUUUAUGUAUAAUCAAUUGUGUAUAAUACAAAGAGUACAACCAAGUUAUAUAGACCUAAUCUAAAAAAAGAAAUAAGAAUAAAUUUAUAUUCUUACAAUCAAUCUAAUAUUCACAUAAUCAAUCUAAUAUAUUUACAUAAUUAGCAUAAUAUUCUUAUACCUCUGCUCAAACUCGAGGUGUUUUAGCAGAAAAUACUGAGAGUUUGCCAAGAAGGAGUAGAAAAUGAGCAGUGGUGUAAGUCUUGGUAAAGAAGUCAAUAAGUUAAAGUGUCGAAGAGACGAAACAAAGCGAGAUGGAACCAGAUUGCAGAUGUUGACGAACAAAAUGAUAAUCAAUUUUAAUGUACUUCGUUCGCUCAUAGAAGAUAGUGUCAUGGGCAAUUUGAAUAGCACUAUGAUUGUCACAGUAAAGAGAGGUCGGAGAAGACUGAGGUACACCCAAAUCAGAUAAGAGACAACGAAGUCAAACAAUCUCAGCAGUGGCAUGAGCCAUAGCACGGUAUUCAACCUUGGUAGUGGAACGUGCAAUAACAGCCUGUUUCUUGAACUUUCAAGGAAUCAAGGAAUCACAAAGAAACAUGCGGAAGCCAGAAGUAGACUUGUGAUCAGUAACAUCACCAGCUGAAUCAAAAGCAGCAUAGGCAACCAAGUCCAAAGAGGAAGUGGAAGACAACAGUAAGCCUUGAAGUAUAGUACCCUGGAGAUAGUGAAGAAUGUAAACCAAAGCAGCCAAUGUGUAGAACGAGGAGCAAAAACGAACUGGCUAACCACACGAACAGCAUAGGCAAGAUCAGGGCGAAUGACCAUCAAAUAAACUAAGUAAUCUAUAAGCUCUUGAUAUAAAGUAGGAUCAUCCAGAAGGACACCAUCAAGUUAAGCCUCAUAUUAAGUUCAAAGCAGACAGUUCAUCCUUCAUAGCUUGAACCCAAUUAGGAUCCUGACAGGCCUCCUUGUAAGAUUAGGAUUCUAAAUAAGAGCGAAUAGUAGAUAAAAAAGUGCAGUAUAAAGGAGAAAAAUAUGUUUGAGUAAAACCAAGUUGGACUACCUGUUUACGGAUGCGAAUGGGAUAUUUACGGUUGGUAAGAUUAGAGUCAUCAGAGGCAGGAGGAUUACCGUAGGGGUAGAGACAACUGGUGGAGGGAGAGCUUUGCGACGAAAAUAGACUAACAACGGAGGAUGAUGAGGAGAUGGAGAUGGAGAUGGAGGAGGAGGAGAAGGAGAAGGAUAACAGGGAACAGACUUGGGGGCCCGUGGAGAGGGAUUCAGGUGGAGUGGUGGUAGAGGGGACAAGCUCACGGGAAACAGUAGAGAUGUAUUCAUCUGGAGGGAGCUCAGAAGGAAAUGGAUCAAUGUGAACUAAAUCUUCUUUGGAAACUGGUGUAGUGAUAGGAGGAAGUUGAAAAUAAGAUAGACAUUUGAGAAAUGCAACAUGGCGAGAGACAUGAAGGCGAUGUACUCAUGGGAAAUAGUAGAGGAGGGACCUCAGAAGGAAAUGGAUUAAUGUGAACUAAAUCUUCUUUGGAAACUGGCAUAGUGAUAGGAGGAAGUUGAAAAUAAGAUAGACGUUCGAGAAAGGCAACAUGGCGAGACAUAAAGGCAACGAGAAACAGGGUCAUAACAACGAUAACUUUUCUGGGUAAGACUUUAGUCCAAAAAGACACAAAAUAGACCGGGCACUAAGUUUGAUCCUGUCUUUAUAGAGAAGAAGGACAAAACAAGCAGACCAAAAAACACGCAGGAGAGAGUAAUUGGGAAGUUAGAAGAACAUAAUGUCAUGAGGGAAACCACCAGAGAGUAGGGGAGUAGGCAUAUAGUUUAGAAGAAAAGUAGCAGUGAGAGUUGUUUCAUCCCAAAAAGGGGCCGGAUUAAAGGCAGAGAGAAGGAGAGACAUAGCUGUUUCAAGAAGAUGACAUUGUUUAUGCUCAGUGCAACCAUUUUGGAUGGGUGUAUCAGUACAAGAAGUUUGGUGUAGGGUACCCAAAUUGUCCAAAUUACUCACAUAACUUAGUUUUAAAAUAUUUUCCACCCAAGUCAAACCGUAACAAUUUAAUGGUAGCCCCAAAUUGUGUAGUGAUCAUAGACUAAAAGGUAUGAUAUAUUUGAUAGAAGUCAGAUUUAUGAGUCAUAAGAUAAAUCCAAGUAUAUGGGGUGCAAUCAUCAACAAAAGACACGUAGUAUGCAUAACCCCUUUAGUGAGAACAUGUGAGGGUCCCCAAACAUUAGUAUGCGCAAGAGAAAAAAAAAAAAACAAAAAUAGAAGUACUUUUAUUAAUUGGUAAAGCUGACAUUUUGGCAAGUUUACACUCCCAACAUUCAUCAAUUUGAGUAGGUGAAAUUUUACCUAACAAUCCUGACUGGGCUAAAGAUCGUAAGUGGUCAAUAGACAAAUGACCUAGGCGAGAAUGCCAUAAAUAAAAUUGACUCGACUGAGAAUCUAAUUGAAAUGAGGAAAGUGCAACUGGAGAGGUGGAUAGAGGGAGAUGCAAACUUGCUAUCACAUAGAGAUCUCCAACUCUACGACCUAUCCCAAUAUGCUUCUUAGACACCCGAUCCUGCACACAACAGACAAAAGAGGAAAAGAUGACACCAAAACUAGAAGCAUCAAGUUGACAAAUAGAUAAUAAACUGACAGAUAGCUGAGGAACAUAAAAAAUAGAGGGAAUAGUAACCGUAGACAUGGCAAAAGGUAAGACAGACCCAAUAGAUAGAACAAGCAUACUAGACCCAUUAGCAGUAUUAACAAUACUAGGAGAGGGAAGGAAGAUACAGUUUUGAAGUAAGGAAAUGUGAGGAGUCAUAUGAUGAGAGGUACUAGAGUAAAAAAACUAGACAAAAGAGGAGAUACUUGAAGAGGAUCCAAACCAACCUGAAUAAAGAGAGGUAAGAGCAGUUGUAGAUGGGGAUGGUUGAGAGGUGGACAAGAGAUUUUGAAGUUGAGCAAUUUGGGCACUCAAGGAAGUCAUGUUAGGAUCUGAAGUCGGAGUAAAUGCAGUAUAAGCGGCGGGGGGCUGAAAAUUAUUUUGAGGAGCUCGGGAUUGUGAUUGAGAUUGUUGAGAAGAUGCACGUCCCUUCUUGGGAUAGUUGUACUUCCAAUGCCUCUUUUAAUGGCAAAAAGCACACUCAUCUUAAGUUAGGGCCCCUUCUUGGGCAUUGCAGUGGCCUGAAGCUGAUAAGGAGGGGUAGAUAUCAGUGGAUGUUGAUUAGGAGCUAGGAAGACAGAUAGAGACGAAGUCUGACUGGCCGUCAUAAGACGAGUUUCCUCGAAGAGGAGCUUACGAACAAUAGCAUCUAUAGAGAGAUGAGGAGAUCAAUGAAGGAUGCCACUGUAGAUAGUCUCAUAUUGAGGGAAGAGAGCUGUUAAGAAUUGCACUAGAUGACCCUGCUCUUGAAAUUUAACAUAAGCAUCUAGAACCUUGAGGCUAGAUGGUUCCAUAAGAGCUAACUGAUCCUAGAGACAUGUCAUCUCAAUAUAGAAGUCCUGAAUGGACUGAUCCCGUUGACUAGCACCUUGAAUAGUUGUUUUCAACUUAUAUCGCUUAGCAAAGUUAGAUUGCUGAUAAACACCUUGUAAAUAAUCCCACACUUCCUUGGUAGUGUUAUAUUUAGAGAACAUCAUUCCAAUACAGUCAUCCACAGAAUUAUGAAACCAGGUCAGAACUUGGGCAUUAUCACAAUCCCAAGUAUUAUACGAAGUCAGAUAUCCUUCUUUUUUAGGUCUGAUGGACGGAGAACAGAACUAGAAAUGUAACCCCACUUUUUCUGACCAAGAUUUUUUUUUUUCAUAACACUGGCCCAGUAGGCAUAAUUGUCACCGGUGAGUUUGCAUUUGAUGGCUUGGAUUUUAGUGUCCGACAUUGUAAUAAAACAAAGAUGAUGGGUCAAAGUAUAAUAACUCAAAAAAAUGAUACCAAAUAACCAGAUAAUCACAAACCGAGGGGCAGAAGUGUAAAUAAAAGCUUUAUUUACUAGAUCAAAACAGUAAAUCAGCAAAGAGAGGACAGAACCAGAGGUUACGCGUCUUCGCAAGAGAGAGAAACCUUUGACAGAGAGGGAGAGAAGCUUUGCGAACCACGAAGAGAGAGAGAUGACAACCAGAUGGGUCGAAAGAGAGAAACGAACAAGAGAACCAGCAGGGCAAACCAGAGAACUAGGGAAGAUGAAUCAGAAGUCUUUGAACAAGAUCAGUGGCUGAAGCAGCAACCAGAGAGGAAGAUUGCGAUUGUGAGUCGAGAGGUCACAAUUGCGAUGCCGGCAGCAAACAGCGACUACUGAUGAGACGUCACAGAGGAGUCGACUUAGAGAGAGACAAAGCCAACAAAUUUGGACCAGCGAAGGAGAAGCUGAGAGCUAGGGUUUCAAACCUAGCUCUGAUACCAUCAGGUUUUACAUCAAUGGGGAACACUGUCCGCGCUCUGACAACUCUUUGAGAAGGCUAGAAGGUGUACCAUAUUAGUCAGCGUCUCACUGUUAAUAACUAGUCAUGAUACCUGAUGUGCUGCUCCGUAGAAGUCUUCUUUCUUUGUAUUUAUCAUUCUUUUAAUUUGUUUUUCUAACUCCAGUACCUUGUAGUUUAAAGAAUUCAAUAAUCUUUGUUAAUGAAUUAUUCAAAAGGUUCUCUCUAAUUUUUUUCUCA